CGCAUGCGCUAUUUCUGACCUUCACCUUCUGCAUCCAACAUGGCGCAAAGUUUGACAGUGUUUUUCGUUGUAGUGCUCUUUACUAUAGUCUUUGGGAUGAAAGAUGGCAGUGACCAGUUCUCAGUUCCUAUGACUGGAGAUAUUCCGUUAUUGGAGUUGCUUCCUGAGAUACCAAGAACAGUGGAUGCCUACCCUCAACAGUUUUCUUUGGAUUCAACUGAUGUAAGUAUAAGUAAAUCCUACAUCUGAGCCAUGGUUUCAAGGGUAAAGUACCCGAAAAGACGAUGUGUGUACCAAAUUGAUGCAUCAACUCCUGCAAGGAAAUUUGUUGGUUUUUGUGAAAUAAAAGAGUUUAUAUUUUCUCAAGAUUAAUGGAUGUUAUGAGAAGACUUAAAACAUGUAUUGAUUAUACAGAUUUAAUAAACAGUUGUUAUCAUUGCAUACCAGUCAGCAUGGACAGGGUUAAAGGGACGGGUUCACGAUUGUUGAAUGAAAUAUUUUUCAUUUUUGAUGUUAACCAUUAAAAACAUAACUCAUUUAAUGUUGACAUCCAAAAUUUUGACCUUCUGAAUGCAAGAAUAAAAGAAAUAUUUUAGCCUUAGAUAUGUGUUAUGUAAACAAAGACUUGAGUCUUUUAAUGAAUACAAACAAACCUAUGAAUUAUUAAUUUUGUAAGAAUGCUUAAAAUGUGAAAGAUAUAAUAAACUUGUAUCUAUAUCCA